CCCCUGCCACAACGGCUUCCUGACGUGGCGGGCAGAACCCACUGGAGCA
rfam:Litorimicrobium taeanense strain DSM 22007 genome assembly, contig: Ga0070518_109